rnacentral:rRNA from 1 species
AAAAAAGGUAAGCUACUAAGAGCGAAUGGUGGAUGCCUUGACUGGUAAAGGCGAUGAAGGACGUACUAGACUGCGAUAAGCUACGGGGAGCUGUCAAGAAGCUUUGAUCCGUAGAUUUCCGAAUGGGGCAACCCAAUGUAUAGAGAUAUACAUUACCUAUAUAGGAGCGAACGAGGGGAAUUGAAACAUCUUAGUACCCUCAGGAAAAGAAAUCAAUAGAGAUUGCGUCAGUAGCGGCGAGCGAAAGCGUAAGAGGGCAAACCCAGUGCUUGCACUGGGGGUUGUAGGACUGCAAUGUGCAAGAGGUGAGUUUAGCAGAACAUUCUGGAAAGUAUAGCCAUAGAGGGUGAUAGUCCCGUAUGCGAAAAACAAACCUUAGCUAGCAGUAUCCUGAGUAGGGCGGGACACGAGAAAUCCUGUCUGAAGCUGGGUCGACCACGAUCCAACCCUAAAUACUAAUACCAGAUCGAUAGUGCACAAGUACCGUGAGGGAAAGGUGAAAAGAACUGAGGUGAUCAGAGUGAAAUAGAACCUGAAACCAUUUGCUUACAAUCAUUCAGAGCACUAUGUAGCAAUACAGUGUGAUGGACUGCCUUUUGCAUAAUGAGCCUGCGAGUUGUGGUGUCUGGCAAGGUUAAGCAAACGCGAAGCCGUAGCGAAAGCGAGUCUGAAUAGGGCGCUUAGUCAGAUGCUGCAGACCCGAAACGAAGUGAUCUAUCCAUGAGCAAGUUGAAGCUAGUGUAAGAACUAGUGGAGGACUGAACCCAUAGGCGUUGAAAAGCCCCGGGAUGACUUGUGGAUAGGGGUGAAAGGCCAAUCAAACUUCGUGAUAGCUGGUUCUCUCCGAAAUAUAUUUAGGUAUAGCGUUGUGUCGUAAUAUAAGGGGGUAGAGCACUGAAUGGGCUAGGGCAUACACCAAUGUACCAAACCCUAUCAAACUCCGAAUACCUUAUAUGUAAUCACAGCAGUCAGGCGGCGAGUGAUAAAAUCCGUCGUCAAGAGGGAAACAACCCAGACUACCAGCUAAGGUCCCUAAAUCUUACUUAAGUGGAAAACGAUGUGAAGUUACUUAAACAACCAGGAGGUUGGCUUAGAAGCAGCCAUCCUUUAAAGAAAGCGUAAUAGCUCACUGGUCUAGUGAUUUUGCGCGGAAAAUAUAACGGGGCUAAAGUAAGUACCGAAGCUGUAGACUUGAUUUUAUCAAGUGGUAGGAGAGCGUUCUAUUUGCGUCGAAGGUAUACCGGUAAGGAGUGCUGGAGCGAAUAGAAGUGAGCAUGCAGGCAUGAGUAGCGAUAAUUAAUGUGAGAAUCAUUAACGCCGUAAACCCAAGGUUUCCUACGCGAUGCUCGUCAUCGUAGGGUUAGUCGGGUCCUAAGUCGAGUCCGAAAGGGGUAGACGAUGGCAAAUUGGUUAAUAUUCCAAUACCAACAUUAGUGUGCGAUGGAAGGACGCUUAGGGCUAAGGGGGCUAGCGGAUGGAAGUGCUAGUCUAAGGUCGUAGGAGGUUAUACAGGCAAAUCCGUAUAACAAUACUCCGAGAACUGAAAGGCUUUUUGAAGUCUUCGGAUGGAUAGAAGAACCCCUGAUGCCGUCGAGCCAAGAAAAGUUUCUAAGUUUAGCUAAUGUUGCCCGUACCGUAAACCGACACAGGUGGGUGGGAUGAGUAUUCUAAGGCGCGUGGAAGAACUCUCUUUAAGGAACUCUGCAAAAUAGCACCGUAUCUUCGGUAUAAGGUGUGGUUCGCUUCGUAUUAGGAUUUACUCCGAAAGCGAAGAAACUUACAACAAAGAGUCCCUCCCGACUGUUUACCAAAAACACAGCACUCUGCUAACUCGUAAGAGGAUGUAUAGGGUGUGACGCCUGCCCGGUGCUCGAAGGUUAAUUGAUGGGGUUAGCAUUAGCGAAGCUCUUGAUCGAAGCCCGAGUAAACGGCGGCCGUAACUAUAACGGUCCUAAGGUAGCGAAAUUCCUUGUCGGUUAAAUACCGACCUGCAUGAAUGGCGUAACGAGAUGGGAGCUGUCUCAAAGAGGGAUCCAGUGAAAUUGUAGUGGAGGUGAAAAUUCCUCCUACCCGCGGCAAGACGGAGAGACCCCGUGGACCUUUACUACAGCUUGACACUGCUAUUUGGAUAAGAAUGUGCAGGAUAGGUGGGAGGCUUUGAGUAUAUGACGCCAGUUGUAUAUGAGCCAUUGUUGAGAUACCACUCUUUCUUAUUUGGGUAGCUAACCAGCUUGAGUUAUCCUCAAGUGGGACAAUGUCUGGUGGGUAGUUUGACUGGGGCGGUCGCCUCCCAAAUAAUAACGGAGGCUUACAAAGGUUGGCUCAGAACGGUUGGAAAUCGUUCGUAGAGUAUAAAGGUAUAAGCCAGCUUAACUGCAAGACAUACAAGUCAAGCAGAGACGAAAGUCGGUCUUAGUGAUCCGGUGGUUCUGUGUGGAAGGGCCAUCGCUCAAAGGAUAAAAGGUACCCCGGGGAUAACAGGCUGAUCUCCCCCAAGAGCUCACAUCGACGGGGAGGUUUGGCACCUCGAUGUCGGCUCAUCGCAUCCUGGGGCUGGAGCAGGUCCCAAGGGUAUGGCUGUUCGCCAUUUAAAGCGGUACGCGAGCUGGGUUCAGAACGUCGUGAGACAGUUCGGUCCCUAUCUGCCGUGGGCGUAAGAAGAUUGAAGAGAUUUGACCCUAGUACGAGAGGACCGGGUUGAACAAACCACUGGUGUAGCUGUUGUUCUGCCAAGAGCAUCGCAGCGUAGCUAAGUUUGGAAAGGAUAAACGCUGAAAGCAUCUAAGCGUGAAGCCAACUCUAAGAUGAAUCUUCUCUAAGCUCUCUAGAAGACUACUAGUUUGAUAGGCUGGGUGUGUAAUGGAUGAAAGUCCUUUAGCUGACCAGUACUAAUAGAGCGUUUGGCUUAUCUUUAAUAAAGCAU